rnacentral:tRNA from 1 species
GGAUCGGAUGGCGGAUCGGGACGCGGAAUCUGGCUCAUGCCCGGGCAAUGCGCGGCCCGGAUCCCGGUUCAGCGCCGGGGCCGCUUCGCC